ACGACUGGCGCGCUGUUGUUAACUCGGCUAUAAUCGCGUAAGCGGUGUCUACGCCAAUUAAGAAGAAGAAAAUAGUAAUAUUACUAAAUAUAAGAAUCGGCUUACAAAAACCCAUAGUAAACCAGCACAUGGUCUUCAAUAGAAAAGGCUACCAUAGUAUCAACGCUAUGAUAAUAUGUGAUCAGACUUACAAAUUUAUGGAUAUUAACUGUCAAUACGGUGGUGCAGCCCACGACUCAUUUGUUUGGAAACACUCGGACCAGAGAAGAGUUUUGGAAGAACGAUUUCAGCACAACAGGAAUGAAAAUUCAUGGCUUUAAGGGGAUUCUGGCUACCCAUUGGAACCAUGAGGCAUAACUCCUUACAGAAACGCUUCGGAUGGUUCAAAUGAAGCUAUGUUCAAUGAAAUUCAAUUCAAUCAAAUGAAUUCCCAUAAAUUUGUAUAUUACGAUUGGUAAUUUGCGUUCGAAUGACGAUUCGAACGAACGGAUACGUUUAUAUACUCGCUCACGUAUGUCAUCAUGCCAGAUUACGAUAUAAACGUUCCGAUCACGUAUAUAAGCGCUACGAUCGCGUAUGUCAUAAUACGAAAUACAAACUUUUACGUGACAAGUGAUAC